rnacentral:rRNA from 1 species
UAGGGAAUCUUCCACAAUGGACGCAAGUCUGAUGGAGCAACGCCGCGUGAGUGAAGAAGGUUUUCGGAUCGUAAAGCUCUGUUGUUGGUGAAGAAUGAUAGAGGUAGUAACUGGCCUUUAUUUGACGGUAAUCAACCAGAAAGUCACGGCUAACUACGUGCCAGCAGCCGCGGUAAUACGUAGGUGGCAAGCGUUGUCCGGAUUUAUUGGGCGUAAAGCGAGCGCAGGCGGAAGAAUAAGUCUGAUGUGAAAGCCCUCGGCUUAACCGAGGAACUGCAUCGGAAACUGUUUUUCUUGAGUGCAGAAGAGGAGAGUGGAAUUCCAUGUGUAGCGGUGGAAUGCGUAGAUAUAUGGAAGAACACAAGUGGCGAAGGCGACUCUCUGGUCUGCAACUGACGCUGAGGCUCGAAAGCAUGGGUAGCGAACAGG